rnacentral:rRNA from 1 species
GGCUAUGGCUAUACCAUCCUGAACACACAUGAUCUCAGAAACUAAGCAGGAUUGGGCCUGGUUUGUACUUGGAUAGGAUACUACCUAGAAAUACCAGAUGCUAUAGGAU